rnacentral:rRNA from 1 species
UGGGGAAUAUUGCACAAUGGGGGAAACCCUGAUGCAGCGACGCCGCGUGAGUGAUGAAGUAUUUCGGUAUGUAAAGCUCUAUCAGCAGGGAAGAUAAUGACGGUACCUGACUAAGAAGCACCGGCUAAAUACGUGCCAGCAGCCGCGGUAAUACGUAUGGUGCAAGCGUUAUCCGGAUUUACUGGGUGUAAAGGGUGCGUAGGUGGCAAGGCAAGUCUGAAGUGAAAAUCCGGGGCUCAACCCCGGAACUGCUUUGGAAACUGUUUAGCUGGAGUACAGGAGAGGUAAGUGGAAUUCCUAGUGUAGCGGUGAAAUGCGUAGAUAUUAGGAGGAACACCAGUGGCGAAGGCGACUUACUGGACUGCUACUGACACUGAGGCACGAAAGCGUGGGGAGCAAACA